rnacentral:rRNA from 1 species
AACGAACGCUGGCGGCAUGCCUAACACAUGCAAGUCGAACGAGACCUUCGGGCCCAGUGGCGCAUGGGUGCGUAACGCGUGGGAACCUGCCCUUAGGUCUGGAAUAACUCGCCGAAAGGGGUGCUAAUACCGGCUCUUGUCUUCGGACCAAAGAUUUAUCGCAUUUGGGUGGGCUCGCGUUGGAUUAGCUAGUUGGUAGGGUAAAAGCCUACCAAGGCGACGAUACAUAGCUGGUCAGAGAGGAUGAGCAGCGACACUGGUACUAAGACACGGCCCGGACUCCUACGGGAAGGAGCAGAGGGGAAUAUUGGACAGUGGGCGGAGGCCUGAUCCAGCACUGCCGCGUGAGUGAUGAAAGCCUUGGGGUUGUAAAGCUCUUUUACCCGGGAUGAUAUUGACAGUACCAGGAGAAUAAGCACCGGCUAACUCCGUG